GGAAAACAACCUCGGUAAAAAAAAACCCACGACCAGGCACCCACGUCCCCAACUCUCCUCACCAAACCACCCCAUCGCUCCUCCCAUCCCAUCUCGCCCGAGAAAAAUCCCCCACCGCCGUAGCAGCCGUUCUCCAUUGCGCUACUGGCCGACGGCCGCUCACAGGAUUUCCCUCCUAGAUCAACUCGGUCUUCCUCCUCCACGCGCGCGCUGCUCCCACGGCCGUGGGCCGACUCAUCCUCUUCGCUCCCGCGCCGGGGCAGCGCUCAUGCGGGCGUUCAUGGAUCUGCAAGUCUCACCUCCUUCCUACCGCUCAAGCGCCGCCCAUGGAUAGACGAUGGCUUCAGCCGCGUCAACGGGGUCGAGGAGUCCCUUGACUUAAACCUCGCCCUCCCUGCGUCGACGGCCUCGCCUGUCUCGAUGGGGUUGGUUACUCGAUCUCCAUCACCCGUCUCAUCUCCGGCGAGUACGGUAUGGGUGUCGACGCCGCGUCGGACAAGAACAGCGCGUGCUCAUCGCUAGCUCGUCUGAAUUUUUUGGUCGACGUCGUCCUGCCGCCGCUCUCGGCGUGGGCGCUGCUCUCUGUGCCGGCGCCCACACCGCACUCUGCAUGUUCUUUAACAAAGGCUCUUUAAUGAGCGAAACCAAUCGAACACACAAACUACGUGGGUAACGAACCUUACAUAUUUCUCCGACGAUGAUGCUAGCAAGCUCCAUUGACCUUGACUGGAAGUCCGGAACCAUCCCUCCAGCAGCAAGGUUCGCAUCCCCCCUCUCGCUCUAUCUUUCCUGUUUCUUUUAUUCAUCCUUGUCUGAAGUGACCUGCUGUUCUUGUUAAGUAGUAGUAUAUGCUAGGCAUGAGCUUCUUGGUCCUGAAGAACAAUGAAAGUUUUACUAUAAAUUUUGAUCUGUGUGGAUCCUACGAAUUACUUUGAUGGAAGCACAAGGAUUAAUCUCAUCUUAUUGAACUCAAUGUUGAGACAUAUGUACCUGUAUAGGUUUUAUGUUUUAUACUUUUGACUUCUAUACUUUACUGUAUUAAAGAAAUAGAAAUGUUCAGGAGAAGAUGCAGUGCUGCAAAUAACUCAUCAUUCUCAUAGUAGCUAGCAAAUCAUUUUAUAUUACUAUGAGUUAUUCUACUCUUCCUGUGUAAUAUUACUAUUUUUCGGAUAGUCGUAGUAUUUAUGCAUGUUCAGUUUUAAUAGAAUUCUUCAGGUUUGCAUGCCGAGAUGUCUUCAGCAAAGGAGAGAUGUAUCGGUGGUAGAUUGUUGGCUGGUAAUAUCUAUCUAAUACUACUGAAGAUAAAUGUUCUUGAUCAGCCACUUGGACAAGAGAUCUGAUAAUGCUACUUCAGAACUUUACUUGGCCUAUAAUCCGUGACAUUCUGAUGGUUGCAUAGAUUAGAGAAAAAAAUGGACAAUGUAUUGUUUCUUUUCUUGCCAUCUUAGUGUUAAAUAAUUUUACCCUGUACCUUAGUAUCCAUGGAUAACAUUUUUGUAUAGCAAAGGUGAUAGCUAGAUCAUAAAAUUUGCUGAUCUGCAUGCCUAAUUUGAAAGUACAAUCUGUACUCAUAACAAGACUUUUAUCGCUCAAUAUGUCAGUUCAGAUGCUUAGGUUCUUGCACUUCCCAUUACGAUGAGACGUACUUCCCGUUGUGUUAUCCUGCUAAUGAAUGUAUCCAAUUUAUAGUGUAGUGGCUAAUUUCAUGCACUAAGUAGGUGUUAUAGAAUUUUGUCUUUUCUUUAAUGGUGUAUCUGUAGUUCUGCACAACACACCUUCUUGCUGAAUUACAUCAACAUAACCUGUUACACUAAAAUUAACAAAGCUCCUAUGCAAAAUUUACUUAUGUGACAAUUUGCACAUUCUACCACUCGAUCGGCUGCUUAACUCGUCCCUAAAUUGCACAUCGCUUAAUUACAUUAUUUAUCGCAGACCUUUUACUUGGUGUAUGUUAAAUAUCAGUUUGCUUUAGUGAUACUUGGUUGCUCAAGGGUAGUAGCAUUACAAGGUAUGAGAAGUAAACAUGCAGCGUAAAACACAAAGCAAACACGAAGCUCUCGCAUCAUACCUCAAACUGAUUUCCUACAGAUUUUCCUGCAGAACUACUACAUGGGAGUCUUAAAAUAAAUAGAGUACUAUUUCUUGUUAUGUAUAUGCUAUAUGGUUGCAGUACGAUGGACCCUUGGUAAAUAUAUUUCUUUCAGGUUCUGGACGAGGCCAACCAAUUAAGAAAAACCUUCUGACUGAUAGAGAUGCAGGUUUGUCACAUUUCAUAAAACCAAACAUAAUUUCCUUGUUACAUCCUCUGUUCUACUGCUUUUGACUACCUGAUGCGUGCACUUCCUUUUGGAAGGCUGAUAGGAUUAGUAAUGUUUGAACGUGGCCUGACCCUCCAUUCAUUUGUGAUUUGGCUUGUAAUGGCUUUCUAAUUGCAACGGGAGCUGGGCAAUACAUGCCUUUACAUAUUACGAAAAAAGCAUCACAUUUAAUACAGAGCAUGCGAAGUUGUCUUGCCAAUCAAUAGCAUGUUAGUAAAGUACUGAAUGCUUCCUCUUUUUUUCUACAAAAAGCCGGGACAAGUUGUAUGCCCAUAUUGCAAUUUCUGUGUGAAGCCUUCUAGAUGCCGGGAGCUGGACCUGGACGAUUGCAUCGGCAAGGAUGAGAAGCAGAUCAUGCGCCACCGCAAGGACAUGUGCACCGGCUCCUGUGCCAGGUACGGGGUCGACAACAGCCACCGCAAUCCCAAGGUCACACUACGUGCAGACUGCUCUAAGGAUAUGGUUGUAUAAUGCAAUUUUUGUCAUGUUGCUCUAUCUACGUAGUGACAAGUGUAGUACUCCCUUUCAUAGUUCAUGUGCAGUAUGGAGUAUGUUUUAUCACACAUGGUCAUGUGCACUAUGCAAUUUCCCUUUGAUGACUAACAAUUGGAACGAAAUGUUGGAAGUAGUGCAAACAUGUAAAAGAAAGUUAUGGGCACAAACUGCUGGUUGGGGUGCGGGAGCAAACUUCACGAUGGCCUAGAUGGUUGUGCGAGGUGGAUGAGGUUGAGACGCAAGGUGGAGGCGACCUCGGCUGUAUUGUGACGGACAGAACCCUCUUCACAUGUGAUGACAUAGAUGGUACCAACCAGUGUGACCCCUUCAAAGAUAGGGAUGGUGGGAGAGGUCGCGGCCUUCGCAUCAAAGACUAAACCGACGUCCGUGGAGGACAGUGCGCGUGGAGAAGAUGCAGGGCACCCAAGUGAAGAUGGUGGCAGAUGCAACUGCCCGUGCAUGUGGUGGCUGCGACGGCCUUGGCCAGCGGGGCAUCGCCGGAGUCAUGGAAAGAAUAAAGGGAAAGUGGGAUAGGACGUACAUCAUGGAGGCGAGGCGGGGGAGGGCAUGGUCGUAGUGGUGGUGUGCGCGCAUAGUGGAGUUUGUGGGUAUGCUAAUUACUUCUUAUUUUGAAAGGGAUACGCUAAUUACUUGUACAAUAAUAUUAUUGUUUGAGGAUUCUUAUAUAAGAAAAAAUUAAAAAACAA